rnacentral:tRNA from 1 species
UCUUCCGUAGUAUAGUGGUCAGUAUUGCAAGCUUGUCACGCUUGAGACCCGGGUUCAAUUCCCGGCGGGAGAG